rnacentral:rRNA from 1 species
CCUACGUGUGGCUGCAGUGGGGAAUAUUGCACAAUGGGGGAAACCCUGAUGCAGCGACGCCGCGUGAGUGAAGAAGUAUUUCGGUAUGUAAAGCUCUAUCAGCAGGGAAGAUAAUGACGGUACCUGACUAAGAAGCCCCGGCUAACUACGUGCCAGCAGCCGCGGUAAAACGUAGGGGGCAAGCGUUAUCCGGAUUUACUGGGUGUAAAGGGUGCGUAGGUGGGAGGGCAAGUCAGAUGUGAAAGCCAGGGGAUCAACCCAGGUACUGCAUUUGAAACUGUCCAGCUGGAGUGCAGGAGAGGUAAGCGGAAGUCCUGGUGUAGCGGGGAAAUGCGGAGAUAUUAGGAGGAACACCAGUGGCGAAGGCGGCUUACUGGACUGUAACUGACACUGAGGCACGAAAGCGUGGGGAGCAAACAGGAUUAGAUACCCUUGUAGUC